rnacentral:antisense_RNA from 1 species
UUUCACCGAGCCCAGCCACAGCGGCCGGUCCGGGGCGCGGUCGCGACCGUAGGUGGCCAACAGCGCCUCGGCUUC